AGCUUACUGGGUUACUUUUCAGAUACUAGGUCAUUCAAACGGGAAAAAAUUAUUCAGGAUUAAUUCUCAAGAUGUACAAGUGACUCCAACUGUUGGCAGUUGAACAAGUUUCUAAACACAAACACUUAGAGAAGGUGCUACAGAAAUGUCCACCAGGAUUUCCUUCUUUAUUUCUCUGUGUCUAUUAUAUUAAUUUCAUACCUAUUAUAGUUCAGCCUUUCUGUUAACAAAGAGUUCAUCCAAAGAAUAUCCAACAAUAGAUGAGCAACACUUCACUCAAAAGACAUAUCAUAUGUGAAUUUUAGUGAAAACUAGAAAGGUCUCUUUGAAUAUUCUAGAAAUAAAGUGGAAUAAUUCUUCCCAAGGUUUGUAUAUCAUUAAAAUACACAAAGCUAAAAGAAUGAUAAUAAUGAGUUCAGUACUUUGAGAUAAAUCAGGAGUUCAGUUGUGGAUAUGGUAUGGAUAAGGGGCUUACCAGACCUCAAGGUAGGCCAUUAGAGUUUGGACACUGGUACCCAGCAAUGUAAAUUAGAAAGUUCUGAGAAAGAGAAGGACUUUAAACCUGCAGCUAGCUGAGAUCACCAAGGGAAGUGACUGUCCUCAUCCUGUUUACCCCACCCAACUGGGAAUAAUGGCUAGAUUUCUAACUUCUAGUUUCUGCCUCUCAAGUGAAGACUGACUAAAGAAAGGACAAGAAGAGUCACAACUCUGAUCCUAAAGUCUAAGACAACAUUGAAGCUAGCUCCUCCCAAAUCUCCUAGCGACUAAAUCAGUUAAACUCCUGCAUGGACUGAUAUGAACCCCAACUACAGAGAGUCUGCUGCCACCUCCCAAUUCCCACAUCCACUGUAAGCUGGAUGAGAAUGCCAGGAAGAAAGAACAUGUUAGAUAUCAUUCUCUAUGAACUCAUCUUUCCAGCUGUUAGGAAUACUCCGUCCCAAAGCACCCGCUGACACAUGAC